UAUCUUGCUGACUUUGGUACUGGAUA
rnacentral:piRNA from 1 species